AUGGAUGAAAUUGUGAAUUCAUAUUUUGAGUUGCUUUUUCGUUCUUCGGGUCCUCGGGAUCUUGAUUUUGUUUUUCAAGACAGUGAUCUAUGCUGAACCAACCCUAUAGUCGUUCGGAAAUUGAGAAUGCCCUGCCCUCAAAUCAAUCAGAUGUGUCCUUUGAAAGUGCUAGGUUCAGAUGGAAUUUUUGGCCUGAUGUUGGAGAUGAGGUAUCAAAGUUUAUUCUAAAUUUUCUUAACAAUAAAGGGGAUAUCUCUGAGGUUAAUAAGACAUAUAUUUGUUUGAUUCCUAAAGUGAAGACAACUAAGCCUAUGAAAAAUUUCUGAUCUUUGUUUUUCGAAGAUGGAGGGAGGGAGGCAUUGGUUUUAGGGAUUUUCAAUGAAGCACUCUUGGCCAAGUAAUGUUGUAGGAUUAUUAAAAAUCCUAAUUCACUUGUUUUUACAACCUAAAUAUUUUUAUGGUUCUUCUUUUUUGAGCUUUGGUCUAGGGAAAUCACCAUCUUAAUCUUUCUUGUGGCGGAGUCUGUGGAAUUCAAGAAGAUUACCCGAUUGUCGUCUGUGGUGGAGAAUUAGUAAUGGUGAAACUGCGAUAGCAACUAAAG
rnacentral:lncRNA from 1 species